rnacentral:rRNA from 1 species
GAUGAACGCUGGCGGCGUGCCUAAUACAUGCAAGUCGAGCGAACGGACGAGAAGCUUGCUUCUCUGAUGUUAGCGGCGGACGGGUGAGUAACACGUGGAUAACCUACCUAUAAGACUGGGAUAACUUCGGGAAACCGGAGCUAAUACCGGAUAAUAUUUUGAACCGCAUGGUUCAAAAGUGAAAGACGGUCUUGCUGUCACUUAUAGAUGGAUCCGCGCUGCAUUAGCUAGUUGGUAAGGUAACGGCUUACCAAGGCAACGAUGCAUAGCCGACCUGAGAGGGUGAUCGGCCACACUGGAACUGAGACACGGUCCAGACUCCUACGGGAGGCAGCAGUAGGGAAUCUUCCGCAAUGGGCGAAAGCCUGACGGAGCAACGCCGCGGGAGUGAUGAAGGUCUUCGGAUCGUAAAACUCUGUUAUUAGGGAAGAACAUAUGUGUAAGUAACUGUGCACAUCUUGACGGUACCUAAUCAGAAAACCACGGCUAACUACGU